AGUGUUCCCACAAGGGCUGUAUUAUAAGAAUGUUAACAGCAGAUUAUGUGCUCAUCCAAUCUCUCUGAAAAGCUUUUAAAAUUAGAGGCAUCAGAAUGAGCAAUACCUGUAUCUUCAUAAACACCAGCUAUAAAAUCCAAUCAGCUCACUGCAGAGUUAUAGCAAGUUGUCAUACUAUUUUGUACCACCAUUUCUUGGUUACAACAGAGUUCAAGUGGAAGAUUUCAAGAUGCAAGAAAGGCAAACUGGAAGUUUUGCUAUCCUACUUGCCUUCCUUCAAAACACCACUGGACCAGAGCAUUUGAUCCCAAGUACUGGUUUAAAAGCUCACAGCCAGCGAUCUCAACACAGAACCAGGGAGCCUCAGGUUUAGCCUCCCCUGUUAUCAACAGUGUUAUUAGCAGCAGUUUAGCAGCAAACCAGAGCUGCCCAUGUGCAGCAGUAAGCCAGUCUCCAAAGCCCAGGUUUAAACUGACCCUAGUGAGCUGACAUGCCCAGGCUAGAGACCCACAGUGCAGGUAGGAAGAAAGACAGUCUUUGCUCAGCACACAGCAACAGCCCAUGGUUUGGUGCGGAGCAACCAAAAAGGAUCCAGGUAAUCAAACUCUGCUCCUAAACCUGUCACAGUGUGCAGUCUUGUGCAAGUCACUAGACCCCUCUCACCUCUGGAAAACCAAACUGCUUUCUCAUGGUGGCAAAGUCUUCUGGACUCUUUGUGGGCAAGGUUGCUGAGCACUGUGAUACAACAGCUGCUCAACCACAAUUCUGCAAAAGGUUUCACUUACUCUGGUUCAGGCAAGCAUGUGCUUUAUUACUCACCAAUUAUGUUUUCAUGACAGACUUGCAGACCCAAUUAUAAGGAGUCAUGCAAAACAGAAAACCAAAGAUGCUGCUUAGAAGUGUGCACACAUUCUUUAUAUCACAUGCUUAAAAACAAACAAACCAACCCCAAAACAACCAAGAAAUAAACAAAAA